UGAUUGAUUGAUUGAUUGAUUGAUUGAUUGAUUGAUAUACAAGGAAUUUGGCUUUGGUGUACUCUCGUGCAAACCAAACAAGGUUUUAGAAGUUGUAAAGGAGUAAAGACAACAAAGGAUAAAUAUUUUUUGAUAGAUGUGAUUUUAACAUCUUAAAAAUCUGUUCAUUAAAUGCCAAAUAAAAGUAAAAAUAUGACUGAUUUGAAUUGUAUUAGAGCUCCUGUGCUAAACCUGCAGUUUAUAACCUAUUUCUACACUUUGAUGUCAGCAUUUUCCCUCUGUCAGUGUAAGCUUUCCUCACUUUCUUCCUUCAGUGGAGAAGAUUACCUUCCAUAUCUGCUCCCCACAGAGUUACAUUAGCAGCCGUUGGCUGUCAUUCCGGCUGUGGAUGAGUGGGACUGUAGCAUCAGACGGGGUCCCGCUGGAUGUUGGAUCGAAAUCCCUCCUGUCAGUUUUUAUAUUCAGAUUAAAAGCAAAGAUGGAGAUCAUGCGAUUGGAAUACUAGUUCCACUCCAGUUUUCUCUGUUCACACUGACUAAAUUCAUCCAUCCAUCCUUCUCUACCUCUCUGUAGUGCCCCUGUCCUGCUCUGAGGGCUUCACAGAGUUGGGGUACUAACGGCACACUGUCUCAGACGGACUCAGGCACCCCCUUGUCUGAAGUGGACCGAGUUUCCACAUUACGUCAUGCAGUACCUGGGUCAGAGUCUGGGGACCACAGCUACUGCAGAAAACCGGACCGGGAGUCCAACCCAUGGUGGUUCUUCCAACAGAGCUCAGGUGCCAUCGGCUGGACGUACUGCGACUGCCCUAAAAACAAUGGGAAAAGUGGGCUUGUUCAUUUACAAAUAGUAAGCACGUUUGUUUAAUAUGAACAAAUUAUGUUUACCUUCAAAACAUAUUACAAUCUUGAAAAUAACACUUAAUUUCUAGCAGUGUUAGAUUUAUAAAUUGAAAUCAUGUUGACUAAACAUGAAACAAUUCUGGUUUGGCCUUUGCCCCUUAAUUUUGGACUGGUAAACCCCGUUAGAAGCAUUCCAGGAGGAGAAACGUUGCAGUCAGCCAUUUUGGAGAAGCUGCAAGCACCUGCUGGCUGGAGGAUCUUUUAAAAGAUCUGCAUCGUCUUCAUCGUCCUCCCACAGAUGAAGCUGCCCAUCCUGCACUUUGGCAGCUCUGCAGCUGUUGGGCCAGAUUGCCCAACACCCCAACCCACCAGUCAGCAGAGCUGCAUGCAUGCAUAGAUGUAAUCCCAGAUAUCGUGGAUGCCACAACACCAGCAGUGGUGUCCAUAUUAUGUUUCUGGAGGUAAGUGCCUGAACCUCUGUUCACUGAGCUGAAGGCUGGCUGUAGUGAUGGGAUGUUGAAGCCUCAGCUGCGUUUACCUGGACAAAAGUAAUCGCAAUGAAGAUCAGAAUAAAAAUGCGUCAUGUAAACAUUGAUUUUAAAUGAUUGAUCUCUAUGCUAAGUCUCUGAUGAUGUGUUAACAGAAGUAUACUAGUACUUUCAGAGACACAGAUGAGCUCCUUAUGGAGCCUUUAUAAUUUGAAAUCAACUUUGAGUGUAACAUCAUGUUAAUUCCUCUUCAAAAACAGCCCCAAGUCGGUAUUUUGAUCCAUUCAAGCAUUUCUGAGUAUUCCUCUAAAACCUGUUCUCUGAGCGGAUUGACACACAUAUGCAAAAAUGGAGCUGCGGAAAUAACUAACUUUUUAUUUUCAAAAUCGUUCUUUAGUGUAACAAAGGAAAUAUAUUCUCAUAUAUAUGCAUGUAGGCUUAAGAAUUGCAUGCUAUAUGCCCCUUAAAUAUGUUGUCACCUCUGUCUCUCUUUAGAUCUCUAUUCUUCAGGAGGGAGGCUUGGCUGACACGGACUGGGUUCAUAGUCACGGAUGAUGGUGAUAUAAUCACCAAUGCCCACAUUGUCUGGGAGAGCUGCAGAGUGCAGGUGGAGCUGAGAAGUGGAGAUAGAUUUGAUGCCACCAUCAAACCUAUGGAUGAGGCCGAUAUCGCCCUAAUCCACAUUAAUUCAUCGGGAGGAUUCUCGGGGGAGCCGCUGAUAAAUCUGGGAAAUGGAUUUGUUUCCACUGCUCUCAUAGAUUGUCAACCCCCACCCCAGUCAGCCCUUGAUCUGCUGGAACAGGGAUGUUACAGACAUUGUGGAUGUCAUAAUGCCAGCAGUGGUGUUUAUUCCCCUGCCCAUCCUGCAACUCUGCAGCUCCACAGCUGUGCGGCCAGACCAUCAUCGCUGUUUGCAAUCCUCCAGCAUUCAAAUACAGUGUUACACUGGGCAUUGUAAGCCACAGAAGGCCGCAUGGGGACUACAAUGCCAUCGUCCACAGCGCCUUCACUACUGAAGAAUUCUCGGGGGGGCCGCUGAUAAAUCUGGUGAGUGAUGUUCAUCUGAGCAGAAGCUGGAUUCUGACAUUCAGAGUAUGACACUGAUUGGUCAUUAAGAAUCGUAAAGGAAACAGGAAACCCUGUCGGUGCAGACGUGUCACUUCCUGUAUGUAUGUGCAGUGAAGGUCAAUCCAAACUGUCACAGAUGAGCUCUUUAUGGAGCCUUUAUCAUUUGAAAUCAACUUUUUGAGUGUAACAUCCUCCUGAGAACCGAGGAAAAAAAGGGUCUUACAAUUUCUGUUUUUGUGGAUUUAUCUCAAUGAGUUCUAUCAACAGAGGAGACACGCCGCUUGGGAAGCCUGGCCGAGCGCAAAGACAUCUUGGUGAGGCCGUCGGCGUCCACAUGACAAUGAUUUCUAUAGCCUUUGGUGGCAUCUAGGUUUCCAAUGGACUCAGACUUUAGGACAAAGUGGAUCUUAGCUAUCAACAGAGCUAACUCAGAUGGAUCACUGUGGUACCAACUAGCAACACAGUCUGACUAUGUUCAAAACAUUUUAUGGAAACAGAUUUUGAUAAGAGGCCAGACUGCUUGAAACCCGACACCAUCCCAUCUGUGUUACACAAAUUAAUCACUCACAUGAACCAGUAAAUCUAUUGUUUUUCUUAAUUUUAUUUUUUUUAAGGGUAAAUUUGUUAUUGACUUUUAGACUUGUUGACUUUAUUUUUAAUUA